rnacentral:rRNA from 1 species
GAUGAACGCUGGCGGCGUGCCUAAUACAUGCAAGUCGAGCGAACGGACGAGAAGUUUGCUUCUCUGAUGUUAGCGGCGGACGGGUGAGUAACACGUGGACAACCUACCUAUAAGACUGGGAUAACUUCGGGAAACCGGAGCUAAUACCGGAUAAUAUUUUGAACUGCAUGGUUCAAAAGUGAAAGAAGGUCUUGCUGUCACUUAUAGAUGGAUCCGCGCUGCAUUAGCUAGUUGGUAAGGUAACGGCUUACCAAGGCAACGAUGCAUAGCCGACCUGAGAGGGAGAUCGGACACACUGGAACAGAGACACGGUCCAGACUCCUACGGGAGGCAGCAGUAGGGAAUCUUCCGCAAUGGGCGAAAGCCUGACGGAGCAACGCCGCGUGAGUGAUGAAGGUCUUCGGAUCGUAAAACUCUGUUAUUAGGGAAGAACAUAUGUGUAAUUAACUGUGCACAUCUUGACGGUACCUAAUCAGAAAGCCACGGCUAACUACGUG